rnacentral:lncRNA from 1 species
ACAGUAGUCCUCUGCCUCCACCGCCCCGGGAUCUCCUUGCGCUCGGUCCUCUACGUGGAGUCACCUAUGCAGAGGAAUUCCACGGGGCGGGGGCGAGGACAGGGUGCGGGGGUCUUUAUGGCAGACAAUCCCCGGCUGAGCGCUUGGCCAGAGUUUCUGUGAUGCUAGAAUCUGGACUGCCUGCGACCUCUCCGGGACUCGGACACCAGCCCUCGCCUCCUGGUGAUCUUUUAGGUCCUGCAGAGAAGUGAAGAGAUCUCGCUCUGUCACCCAGGCUGGAGUGAAAUGGCACAAUCUUGGCUCACUGUAACCUCCGCCCCCAGGUUCGACUGAUUCUCGUGCCUCAGCCUCCUCAGUAGCUGGGAUUACAGGAUGGAGAGUAAAGGAGGUAAAGGAGGACUCUGAUGCCUCAGCCAUGCGCCUGUGUGCCGAUUCCCAUUAAGCCUGCACCAAUUUGAUUUCCAAGACUCCAGUCAAUCCUCAGAGCUCCAGGAGGGGAGGGGCAGCUUUUCCUGGUAGCUGCUGAUCACCAGCAGAGGGAGCCCUAGGACUGCAGGGCCUCUUUCCUUACCGUUGGUGAAGCCCUUCACUGUGGCUUCAAAACUGUGGAAGACCCGGGAUUUGUGGAUCACUUGCCUUUAGAAUAGAAUCAAGAAAUAAAGCUGCAGAAGAAAGAAUCUCCAUGUGGCUCCUCUUUUCUUGCCGGUCUGCUGACCCUCAGGGGCCAUGCCUUGGCUGUCUUCUCAUCUCACAUUCACUUCCAGGAUGAUGCCGGGUUGGAGAAUAUGGAAAACAAAUCUGACUUGCUCGAGUGAAAAAGGAAUCCACUAGAAGAAUGUCAGAAAGCUCACUCAACAAAAGGAAAAGCUAAACAGCUAGGCCUUAUCAGCCUGGGAGCCAGACCGAGCCCUUCCCAGGUGCCAGGAAUCUCUGAGCAUUGCCUCAGGCGAUUCAGUUCCACACAUCUUUGUUCCUGAUACAUCUCUCCGUACAAGAUUCAAAUUCCCAGGAAAGAAACUGAUUGGCUUUCAUGGCAGGGUCAUAUUUGACCCACUCCUACUCACAGGGGCAAAAACUGUAACUUCCUUUGUAUUUUUUCUUUUUCUUUUCUUUUUUUUUUUUUGAGAUGGCGUCUCGCUCUGUCGCCCAGGCUGGAGUGCAGUGGCACGAUCUCGGCUCACUGUAACUUCCACCUCCCAGGUUCAAGCUAUCCUCCUGCCUCAGCCUCCCGAGUAACCGGGACCGCAGGCAUGCGCCACCAUUCCUGGCUAAUUUUUGCAUUUUUAGCAGAGACGGGUGUUUUACUAUGUUGGCCAGGCUGGUCUCGAACCCUGACCUCAAGUGAUCUGCCCGCCUGGACCUCCCAAAGUGCUAGGAUUACAGGCACGAGCCACCACACCCAGCCCUGUAUUUUCAUCUAAUCUCAUUUUCAUCUCAAACUUCCAUUCUCCCAACUUGAGGGGAUAUUUCCUUCUCUUCUGGUUUACAGCGCUCUGUUUUGCACAGAUAUUCAGUGUUCAGGAUCCUCCUCUCUCCUGUGUGCUCCCAUCCUCCCGGCGUGGCAUCUGGGUAUAAGGGGGCAGUGGGUAAGCUUUAUGGCUCAGAUGCCAUUCCCUGCCUGUUGCUGGUCUUCACUCCCACGUGGUCGCUCGGAAUUUGUCCCCGGGCAUUACGGAUUAUGGUGGAACCUACCAAAAUGGGGUGAACCUGAUUUAGUUCCUGAGCAGUACACGGACCUGCUUAGAAAAUUGCCUGUCUGUAGCCAUGAGGUCCUCAUGUGCCACAACCCUCGCAGCUUGUCACCUGGCCUCUCUUUGUCCCUCAGUCCACUUAGCACAUCACUGGGACAUGUGGACACAUCUGGAUUACCACCUACAUGGCACCCACAGGUCAAGGGGACAACGGGCUGCUGUUACCACAGCUUCGGUGCCAGCUUAGUGCUGUCACGUGGUCAGUGGGGGGCAUCUCUCCCUGGGCUGUGCUUGGGAAAGUGGGAUCCUACUGUCCCCCAAACCUGUCCAGAUGCUUCUUAGUCCUACAUAGGAGUUUUCCUUCGAGGAGGGUAGACACUUGCACCUGAACUCUUGUCCUGCUUUUUUUUUUUCCUUGGCAGCACCAGAAGGCUUUUGCCCUGCUUGCUGUACAGGAACUUGUCUGAACCUUAUACUGUGUCAUCUCCACACUAUGGCCUAUAGAAAAUCUCUAUCCUCUCAUCCCCAGGUUGUCCUCUUGCUCUGUAAAGGGAAUAUUUUGAAAGUUAGGAAAACUGUUUCUGCCUCAACGAAGUCACAUUUUAACACUAAUGUCCACAGACUCAAGAAAUCUAAUUUAAAACAGAGCCAGGCAAUGGCUCCCAUUGAUUCAGUGGCUGGAGGGAGCUGCAGGCUAACUAGGAAUUAGGAAUUAGCCACAACAGAAGUGCAUUUGGUUUCAUCUCAAGAAAUAUCCUCCUUUACACCUGUCUUGGCAGAUGUGCCCACUGCUUGGGUGGCAGGACACUUUGAUUGUCUCACCAAGACUGUGUGGAAAGGGGUGGGGUACUUCUCCAAAGGGAAAAGUGGGCUGCUGUCACCCAUAAAAGGGGUAGAGGGAAAGGGCAGGCAGAAACAGUAAAUGUCUUCCAUAGCUUCAGGUCACAUCUGCCUGCUGCUGAUACCACAUUCAUAUCUGCAGCCCAUGUGUCUCCUCGAUGCCACACCUCUGUGUCCACAGUCUUCCUAUUCAGUCGCCUAUGUGGAUGUCCCUCUGACACCUGGUGAAACAUGAUGUGUUUCUAAUUGAGCAGGUUAUCUUUCCCCCUAAGCCUGGUCUCCUGGCCUUUCCCCAGUCCCUUCCAGUUUAAUUGAAUCAAAUCGAAUGUGAUUCAUCUCCUCCCAUCCGUCUGGCUCCUGGGUUAUUUAAUACCCCCCCAAACUUUGGAAAUAUUUUAAUGUGUUAAUAUAUUAUUUUUUAAUAAAAAAUAAUUUUAACAAAAGAAAAAUAUACCUUUAUAGAAAAUUUAGAAAAUAUAAAGACUCAGGCACCUUAUCAUUUUUAUCUCCUGGUUAGCCCUGGGAGGCAGGUACUAUUAUUUAUCCCCAUUUUACAGAUGAGGAAACUGAGGCUCAGAGAGGAAAAUAGCUUGCUGCUUUCACACAGGUCAGAAGGAUCUAUGCCGGAUUUGAGCCCAGGUCUUUCUGAUUGCAAGCUGAAGGCGGUCUUGUCUUUGGGAUACUCAGUUGAGGGGCUUGGCCUUUGCCUCAGAAGCAUUCGACUUGGCCCCUGUCCUUGAGGAUGUCCCCUGGCAGCAUUUGGUAAAGGUGUUGCGGAGCGCCUAGGAGCCACACUGCCUCUGAGAAGCCCUGCCUCAGAUGCCCACCCCUCUGUGUGGCCUUGGGCACACUGCCCAAGCCCCUGUGCCCAGUUUACUCCUCUGAAAAAUGGGGAUGAUGAUAGUAAUCGUAGGACUUCCCUUAGAGGGCUAGGAGAGGAUGAAAUGACUAAUGUGGUAGAACACUGCCCGGCUCAUAGCAUCUGAUAUGGCUUAGAUAUUUGUCCCCUCCAAAUCUCAGGUCAAACUGUGACCCCCAGUGUUGGAGGUGGGGCCUGAUGGGAGGUGUUUGGGUCAUGGGGGUGGAUCCCUCAGGAAUGGCAUGGUGCCCUCCCAUGGUAAUGAGUUCACCCCAGGCCCAUUUGUUAGAGCCUGGUACCUCCUGCCUCCUCCCUCUUGCUUCCCUCUCUGGCCGUGUUAUCUGUGCAGGCCGGCUCCGCUUCACCUCCUGCCAUGAGUGGAAGCAGCCUGAGACACUCACUAGAAGCCAGGCAGAUGCUGGUGCCAUGCAGAACUGUGACCCAAGCAAACUUCUUUUCUGUAUACAUUACCCAGUCUCAGCUAUUCCUUUAUAGCAUCGCAAAACAGACUAAUAUAGCAUCCAACAACAUUAGCCACUGCUACUAUUAUCAUUAGUAUUUUAAGUGUGUGCAUUUUAAUUGCUGGUACACUGUGUGAACUGGCUUGGAUGUUUGUCCCCUCCAAAUCUCAUGUCGAACUGUAAUCUCCAGUGUUGGAGGUGGGGCCUGGUGGGAGGUGUUUGGAUCAUGGGGGCAUAUUCCUCAUGCUUGGCUUAGCGCCAUCCUGUGGUGAUGAGUGAGCUAAUGGGAGAUCUGAUUGUUUAAAGGUGUGCGGCACCUCCCCUCUCUCUUGUUCCUGCUCUUGCUAUGUGACACACAGGCUCCCCUUUGCCUUCCACCAUGACUGUAAAUUCCCUAUGGCCUCACCAGAAGCAGAUGCCAGCACCCCACUUCCUAUACAGCUUGCAGAACCAAGAACAAAUUAAACUUGUUUUCUUUAUAAAGACAGACUCAGGCAUUUAUUUGUAUCAGUGCACAAACAGCCUCAUACACUGGGCAUACGUGUUAUAUCCUGCUUUCCUUCAAUUUACUAUUAGCGUUUUUAUGUCACAAACUAUUCCUCAAAACAUUAUUUUAAUGACUGUAUAAUAGUCCAUCAUUUAAAUAUAUUCAUAACUUAUUCUGUAGUUAACCAUCCACCCGUUUCUGGACAAUUAGGGGUGUGUGUGGGUGUUUGUUGUAAUAAAAAACUCUAAACCAAAAAUCCUUGUCUGAUUAUUUUCUUAGAAUUUUACACCUGGAACUCCUGGGUGGGAAGGUAUAAACCGUUUAAAGUCUCCGGCAACACACUAAUAAAUUGCUUCAAAGGAAAGUUCUCAACCGUUACUCUCAGCAGUGUGUGUAUUAGGGCCAUCCUCACCACACCCUUUCAGGUAGCGAGGUGAGCUUUUUCAAAGUCCACCUUUGUUGCUAUUUCUUUACAAGGCAGGUUUUACUACAUGUCCUUGGGUUGGUGGGGGUUGGUCCCAUGCUCAAGGUGCUUCUACCUAUGCUGCCUGUUACAAUGUUCUUAAAUUAGCUAACAGUCCCAUAAACCCUGAGUGGACAUAUUCACCCUGUUUCCUGCCUGGUCUGUUCUCCUGCGGGUGGAAAUAUAAUUUUCAGUGCUGGAAAUUUUUUUUUUUUUUUUUGAGACGGAGUCUUGCUGUGUCACCCAAACUGGAGUGCAGUGGCACCAUCUCGGCUCACUGCAAUCCCCGCCUCCAGGGUUCAAGCGAGUCUCCUGCCUCAGCGCCCCGAGUAGCUGGAAUUACAAGCUCACACCACCACGUCCAGCUAAUCUUUUUUGUAUUUUUUGUAGAGACAGGGUUUCACCAUAUUGGCCAGGCUGGUAUCAAACUCCUGACCUCAAGUGAUCCACCCACCGUGGCCUCUGAAAGUGUUGGGAUUACAGGUGUGAGCCACCGUGCCUAGCCAAUUCACUGGUUUCUCUGUUUCUCUGUCGCCCCUGCUUUAAGAUGUUUAGCAUGUGGCCUCGCUCCCUGGUGACAGCACAGUCCCAAAGCCCAGUAAUAUAUUUUAAAGAAGUCUAUUAAAGGUACGAGCUUAGCUGGACUGACCCAUUAUCUGAAAUCUGUGUGUGGCCUUCCCAACUUACAUUGCCAAUACUUGUGCCUGUUUCAACUUGAGAUUCCUGUUCGGUGUACUCUCCCUUUAAGUUACCCUACUGCUGGUAUCCUAACCUCCCAGAAAGAGAGCUAGAGUUUUAUUUUGUUAAAGUAAAAUCAGUAUUCCCCAGUGCUCUGUAUUUUACAAAAUGCAUUCACACAUGACUGCCUUGAUCCUCAGAAUGAUUCUGGGAGUUACUGUGUUUAUCUCCAUUUUGCAGAUGAGCCCCAGAGAGGCGAAGCCACUUGAGCUCGUGAGUGACAGUCAGAUGUCAAGCCCUGCUCUUUCUAAAGCGUGCUGCCUUCAGAAAAGAAGAGCCAGAAGGAUGGAAAUUACUUCAGAAAGAUGAAUACCAGCUUUGAAGGAAUAAAAGCUGACGAGGAAUUGAAGGAGUUGAGGCACGAGCUUGAACAGGGUUGCAUGUUUGGCCCUUGAUUGUAAAUGCCCAUUGCUGCACCUGUUCCUGUUACUUGGGGAGUUGCAGCAGAAGGAACAGCGGCCUGGGACUCCAGAGAACUGGGUUCCCUCUCAUCCCUCCAGGGCCACCACUUCUUGUGGGCCCUUGGGCAAGUCACUGUACUUUCUGAGUCUCAGUUUCCCCAUUUGCAGAAUGGAAAUAACUACCCCGGUCUACCAACUUAGAAGAAUUGCUUUGAGGAUCUGAUAAGGUGGUGUGGAUGAUGCUGCCUUGGGGGCUUUACAGUCUGGAGCUCAAGGGACCCCUUAAGUUGGGCUUACUUAGUAACUCCAGGGGUGGGCAGAACAGGACUCCAAUGAGGGUUUUUUUCUUUUUCCCUUUUUUUUCUUUUCCUAUCUCUUAACUUUUAUCUUUAUUAUUUUACAAUGCCCUUGUAAGAUGAAACAAGUGAUGCUGAAAUAUCUUUUUCUUUUUUAACCUUUAUUUUAGAAUUGGGGUACAUGUGCAGGUUUGUUACAUAGGUACAGUGUGGGCUGCUGAGGUUUGGGAGUACGAAUGAAUUAGUCACCCCAGUGGUGAGCAUAGUGCCCGAUAAGUGGUUUUUUCAACCCUUACUCCCAUCCCUCUCCAUUCUUGUGUUCCCCAGUGUCUGCUGUUCCCAUUUUUAUGACCAUGUGUACUCAAUGUUUAGCUCCCACUUAGAAGUAAGAACAUGCCCAGCACUUUGGGAGGCCGAGGUGGGUGGAUCAUGAGGUCAAGAGAUCGAGACCAUCUUGGCUAACAAAGUGAAACCCUGUCUCUACUAAAAACAUAAAAAAUUGGCCGGGUGUGGUGGUGGGCACCUGUAGUCCUAGCUACUCGGGAGGCUGAGACAGGAGAAUCGCCUGAACCGGGGAGGUGGAGGUUGCAGUGAGCUGAGAUUGUACCACUGCACUCCAGCCUGGGUGACAGAGUGAGACUCCAUCUCAAAAAAAUAAAAAUAAAAAAAUAAAAAGAAUGUGGUGUAUGAUUUUGUUUUCUGUUUCUAUGUUAAUCCACUUAGGAUAAUGGCCUCCAGCUACAUCCACGUUGUUACAAAAGACACGAUUUCAUUCUCUUAUAUGGCUGCCUAAUAUUCCACGGUGUAUAUGUACCAUAUUUUCUUUAUCACAUCCACUGUUGAUCCACACCUGGGUUGAUUCCAUGUCUGUGCUAUUGUGAAUAGCACUGCAGUGAACAUGUGGGUGCGUGUGUCUUUGUGGUAGAACGAUUUCUUUUCCUUUGAGUAUAAUAUAUCCAUUAAUGGGAUGGGGCUGACAUACUUAAAGUAGAAACGAAAAUUGUCAUGUGCUCCCCCACGCCCCUCCAUUCUACUCUGCAGAGAGACAGCUGCCUGCUGUUUGUGGUUUAGUACACCUCCUUCCAG